GCACGCGAAAACCUUACCUACCCUUGACAUGUACGGAAUUUCUCAGAGAUGGGAAAGUGCCCGAAAGGGAACCGUAACACAGGUGCUGCAUGGCUGUCGUCAGCUCGUGUCGUGAGAUGUUGGGUUAAGUCCCGCAACGAGCGCAACCCUUGUCGUUAAUUGCCAUCAUUCAGUUGGGCACUUUAACGAGACUGCCGGUGACAAACCGGAGGAAGGUGGGGAUGACGUCAAGUCCUCAUGGCCCUUAUGGGUAGGGCUUCACACGUAAUACAAUGGCCGGUACAGAGGGCUGCCAACCCGCGAGGGGGAGCUAAUCUCAGAAAGCCGGUCGUAGUCCGGAUUGUUCUCUGCAACUCGAGAGCAUGAAGUUGGAAUCGCUAGCAAUCGCGGAUCAGCAUGUCGCGGUGAAUACGUUCCCGGGUCUUGUACACACCGCCCGUCACACCAUGGGAGUGGGUUUCACCAGAAGUAGGUAGUCUAACCGCAAGGAGGACGCUUACCACGGUGAGAUUCAUGACUGGGGUGAAG
rnacentral:rRNA from 1 species